rnacentral:lncRNA from 1 species
CGAAAAUGUGGGCGCGUAGAUCGAUAAGUGAGGCGGUAUAGACCUGCCUUAGUUUUCUUAAGCACUACUAUAUAUAAGAGACCAACGAGCAGUGUUUUUAGAGCGACUCACCGUUAACAGCAAUACUAACUUACAUUAUUCUACAUAACACAACACAGAAAAAUAACACACACAGGGAAAACAAAAUACGAGAAAGAAAAUUAACAAAACAAGCUAUAACUUUAAAUAUAUAUAUAUAUAUAUAUAUAUAUAUGUAUAAUAUUUAUAUAUAAAUAUUAAGAAAGUAAAUAAGAGAAAGGAAGAAAAGUACCCCUUUAAACUGUUGCAUCCGUCGUCACCAACGUCUAGAAGUCGAAGCAGAAGUAGAAGAGAAAGAAGAAACAGAGAGAGAGAGAAAAAGAGGCACAGGCAGUGUUAGUCCGUGAUCCUGAAAAACUAAUAUCACAUCAUAGCGUGUUGACAUUUGCUGUGAGGUAAGCGAUUAUUUCUUAACAAUAUUUUGUAUUUUUUCUUUUUUUUCUGUUUUCGCUCUCCCUGGGAUUGCAAGGAGGGGAUUGUGGUGCUGCCGUGAUAAGGCCCAAUAGUUUUGUCCAGUUUAUUUUCAUCUGUUUUCGUCAUAUUUCCUUCCUGGUGGUUUGUUUUGUCGAUUUAUUUACAUUUCCUUAUGUUUGUGUUAUACGAUGAUAUGUUGAUUCGAUAUAUAUAUAUAUAAGCGUGUCAGGAUUCGUAGGCGCCAAUAUUACACGCGUGCGCAAACACACAUACGCAUACACACAUACACACAUUCACACAUACAUGAACAUGCAUAUAUACAUACAUAUAUAUACGUGUGUGUGUAUACUAUAUAUAUAUAUAUGUGUGUGUGUGUGUGUGUGUAUACAUACGCAUGAACGAAUAUAUAUAUAUAUGCAUAGAUAUGCAAGCAUGUAUAUGGUACAUAUGUAUGUAUAUAUAUAUAUAUAUAUAUACAUAUGUGUGUGUGUGUGUGUGUGCGUGUGUGUGUGUGUGUGAGUGUGUAUGUACGUGUAAUCAUUGUUAUAUAUAUAUAUAUAUAUAUAUAUAUAAGACUGCGUGUGUGCUUGUGCGUAAAUGUAUAUAUGUGGGUAUAUAUAUAUAUGUAUAUAUAUAUAUAUAUAUAUACAUACAUACAUACAUACAUACAUACAUACAUAUAAUAAAUAUAUGCACUUUGUGUAUAUGUGUAUAUAUAUAUAUAUUAGUAUAUAUAUAUGUAUGUGUGUGAGUAGAUAUACAUGUGCAUAUAUUUGUAUACAUUUAUAUGCGUUUGUACACGCACUUGUGUACGCACAUCACACGCGCAAACACAUAUAUGUGAAGCACUGGAUUUGUGGAUAGAAAAUCUGCGAUAUUUUUCCUACUAGGAAUUCAAAUCCAGUGGAAGUCAAGUUCGUAUUUCACCCUUUCGAGGUCUAUAAAUAAAGCAGCCAACCAUGGCAAAAUAUUGCUACAAUUAUUAGAGUUUUUUUUCUUUUUUUUUUGCACUUUGUGUCUGAGUUCAAAUAACGAUGUGACACCUAAAAGCCCCAUCCGUCAGCAUGGGGGCUGUGCACAGCGAAUACUCGUAACAAAUAACCAUAGGAGAAAAUAUUCUUUAUAGUCGCAGCACCAAAAUAAAUGACACAGGGCGGAGUCGAAAGUUUCUUCUAGUUGGAAUGCCAUGUAACGCCCUGCUGACUAUAAAAUGUGUGUGUGGGCAUGUAUGUGUGUAUGUGUGUGUGUGUGUGCGCGCGCGUUUACAUAUCUACAUUCGUAUAACAUCGUCCGUUUUUCCGUCCUUGUUUCGUAUACAUUCGAAGCUUUUUUCCAAGGAAUCUAAUGCUCUUAGCUUAGUUUUUCCUUGGGGAUGGCUAGAUUGGAGCAAUCAGAGGUCAAGAUUAAUCAGCCGAAAUUGCGAGGAUGAUCCGUUUCUUGACUGAAGAUUAAAGGCUUCGAAUGACCCGUCCGUGUUUUUGUAUCGUCUUCUGGAUGUUUUACGCUCUUGUCCCAUUUUAUAUUUAUAUCUCUAUGAGAUAUUUAUAAAUAUUAAAUUUCUAAAUAUCUCAUAUAGAUAUGUACGGUGGUGGGGCGAUAGAAUGGUUGUAUACUGUCAAUUUAACGUGAAAGCAGGGGAUUACACCACCGCUGUUUAGCCCUAGGAAGCAUCGACGCCUCAUGCUGCAAUGGCGACGAAAAACACAACACAAAUACGAGGUAAAAAGUAUACACACAGCUAGUAUUAAUUAGAUUGAUGCUAAGGAAAUUAUCUUUAACGUUUCGAAUACACAUAUUUUUUUGGAAAAUAGGAAUAAUUGUUGUGACCCCCUUCGGUCAUGAAUGAUCAUGGGAUUGCACCUAGAAAGUUGCCCUCCCAGGCACAAGUCUGGGCAAGGUUGUUUAUGGAAAACCAACAGUCGCCCAUGCAUACUGGCCUCCCCUCACCUCGCCACCGAUGUUAUCCAAGGGAAAGGCAAAGGCCGAUACAGCUUGGCACCAGUGACGU